AAAAUGUGUUCAAGUUUGUUCGGUUAUUAAAUAAAUGAACAUAAGCGAACUUCUGGCCGAACUAGUUCAUGAACGUUCGAUUCAUUUACCGGCCUACAACCAAAGUUCAUGUUUGUUCGUUUCUCAACAUGCUCAUCACAAGAACCAGCAUCAUCCGUGAUCCCACUUGAACCAGAAGAAACCUGUGUGAAAUUCGAGCACAUCUUCUUAAUCUAUUUGUAUACGUUGGUUGCAGGGUAUGAGAAGAAGCUGAAAUCACAGGCUUCACAUCGUCAUUCAGUUGAAGAAACAUAACAAAUUGAAUGAGAUCAAUGGCGUCUUCGUCGUCCUCUUCUCACUUGAUUCCCACAUCGUGACUCGUUUGCAAGAUUUGAAAUCAAAGUUGGAAAUUGGGUCUGGUGGUUGGGAUAUGGGGGGUUGGAGGUGGUGGUGGUAAAACUACCCUCGCAUAUGCUGCGUAUACAGAAAUCUCUCACCAAUUUGAAGCUCACUAUCUUCUUGAGAAGAUUCGUGAUGAAUCAAGCAAGCAUGGCCUGAAAAAGCUGCAAGAACUUUUUUGUUAUCAAGUGUUCUGAAAAUUAAUGUGGUGGUAGAGAGUGAGAUAGAAGGAAGAAGCAUGAUAGAAAGAAGGUUAUGUCGUAAAAGAGUUUUAGUUCUUCUUGAUGAUGUUGAUGACCUUGAGCAACUGGUGAGGGGAGUCGGAUAAUAAUCACUACCAGGGAUGAGCAUUUGCUAACACGCAAGAUAGACGCGAUCUUUGAAGUAAGUUUGUUAUCACACGAUGAGGCUAUCAAGCUCUUUAGCAGACAUGCAUAUCGGAAAGAAAAACCUGUAGAAGAUUAUGACCAACAAUAAACAAUUUUUGUUUUGAGCUUAA